rnacentral:rRNA from 1 species
GAUGAACGCUGACAGAAUGCUUAACACAUGCAAGUCAUUGGCGAAGCUGCGCUUGCGCAGUCUAGCCAAGGCGGACGGGUGAGUAACGCGUAAGGAACUUGCCCUGCAGACAGGGAUACAAACGGAAACGAACGAUUACACCUGGCUUUUUUAGGCUGGUGCAUCGCGGUCUGAAGAAAGGAGACGCUGCAGGAGAGGCUUGCGUCCUUUUUGCUAGUUGGGGGGGUAAAGGCCCAACAAGGCGAUGAUAGGUAGGCGGCCUGAGAGGGUGAACGGCCAAAAGGGGACUGAGAUACGGCACUUACUCCUACGGGAGGCAGCAGUGGGGAAUAUUGGACAAUGGGGGCAACCCUGAUCCAGCAAUUCUGUGUGCACGAAGAAGGUUUUCGGAUUGUAAAGUGCUUUCAGCAGGGAAGAAGAAAGUGACGGUACCUGCAGAAGAAGCGACGGCUAAAUACGUG